rnacentral:rRNA from 1 species
UAAGCGGAGGAAAAGAAACUAACAAGGAUUCCCCUAGUAACGGCGAGUGAAGCGGGAAGAGCUCAAAUUUGAAAUCUGGUGGCCUCAGGCUAUCCGAGUUGUAAUCUAUAGAAACAUUUUCCGCGUUGGCCCAUGUACAAGUCUCUUGGAAUAGAGCGUCAUAGAGGGUGAGAAUCCCGUCCUUGACAUGGACUACCAGUGCUUUGUGAUAUGUUUUCAACGAGUCGAGUUGUUUGGGAAUGCAGCUCAAAAUGGGUGGUAAAUUCCAUCUAAAGCUAAAUAUUGGCGAGAGACCGAUAGCGAACAAGUACCGUGAGGGAAAGAUGAAAAGCACUUUGGAAAGAGAGUUAAACAGUAUGUGAAAUUGUUGAAAGGGAAACGAUUGAAGUCAGUCGUGUCUAUUGGACUCAGCCGGUUCUGCCGGUGUACUUCCUUUAGAUGGGGUCAACAUCAGUUUUGAUCGCUGGAAAAGGGCAGGAGGAAUGUAGCACUCUCGGGUGAACUUAUAGCCUUCUGUCGCAUACAGUGGUUGGGACUGAGGAACGCAGCUUGCCUUUAUGGCCGGGAUUUAUCCACGUACAAGCUUAGGAUGUUGACAUAAUGGCUUUAAACGACCCGUCUUGAAACACG